ACCGGAGUGGUGAAAUGGUAAACACAUUACUUUAAGGUUGUAAAAGUUGUGAGUUCAAAUCUCACCUUCGGUA
rnacentral:tRNA from 1 species